AGGGCGGCUGCUGCGGCCUGGCCGGCAACUUCGGCUUCGAGCCGGGCCACGAGGAGGUGUCGGCCGCCUGCGCGGAGGACCGCCUCCUCCCGGCCCUGC
rnacentral:tRNA from 1 species